rnacentral:rRNA from 1 species
GAUGAACGCUGGCGGCGUGCCUAAUACAUGCAAGUCGAGCGAACAGACGAGGAGCUCGCUCCUUUGACGUCAGCGGCGGACGGGUGAGUAACACGUAGGUAACCUACCUAUAAGUCUGGGAUAACUUCGGGAAUCCGGAGCCAAUACCGGAUAAUAUUUCGAACAGCAUGGUUCGAUAGUGAAAGAUGGCUUUGCUAUCAUUUAUAGAUGGACCUGCCCAAUAUUAGCUAGUUGGUAAGGUAACGGCUUACCAAGGCAACGAUACGUAACCGACCAGUAAGAAUAAACGGCCCAACUGGUACGUGAGCGCACUCCAUACACCAACAGAAAACAACAGUAGAGAUUCUUCCGCAAUGAGCGAAGACCUAGCGGAGUAACGCCGCUUGAGUGAUGAGAGGCUUCUAAUCGUAAAUCUCUGUUAUUAGGAAAAAACAAAAGUGUAAAUAACUAUGCACGUCUUGGCGGAUCCUAGUCAGAAAGUCACGGCUAACUACAUA